UACGUAGGGCGCAAGCGUUGUCCGGAAUUACUGGGCGUAAAGCGUGCGUAGGCGGUUCGUUAAGUCUGUCGUGAAAGCCCUGGGCUCAACCUGGGAAUGGCGAUGGAUACUGGCGAGCUAGAGUGUGAUAGAGGAUGGCGGAAUUCCCGGUGUAGCGGUGAAAUGCGUAGAUAUCUGGAGGAACACCGGUGGCGAAGGCGGCAUCCUGGACCGAUAUUGACGCUGAUGCGCGAAAGCCAGGGGAGCAAACGGG
rnacentral:rRNA from 1 species